CGGGGGGGGGGGCUCCGUGCCCCGCCCCCGCCGCCGGGCGGCGGCCCAGCCCGCUCCGCCCCUCCCCUGCCAACGGCAGCGGUUUGGUUUUAAAUCCUGGGGAAAGGUCUUUUCUCCUUUCUUUCUUUUUUCCCCUUCCCUCCCCUCUGUGGACGUAUAGGACUCAUCAGGGCGGCCGCGAGCCGGAGCCGUGACCCCCAGAAGGCCGCGGGCGGCGGCAGCUCCGCCGUUUGCCUAAUCCUCCGCGCGGCUGCUGCCACGAGAAAUCGGCUUAAUGUGUCAGGGCGGGCUCGAUCUUUUCCAGCAGCCUCCAGCCGCCCCCGUCGUCCUCCUUCCGCAAAACCAGCCAGAAACCAAUGACUUUUUGUUGUCAUCCCCCUUCAGGCGGAGGGACGAGGGUCGCAUCGGGGCCGUUGGCCACUGCGCAGCCUCCUCAGCUAAGGCUCCCUAAGAAAAACUGCCGCCCAAGAAAAGUAGUGUUUUUGACCUUGAUGUUUGAAAAGUUACAAAGCCACGUUGUCCGAGAGACUUUGCCACAGUGAGGAAUGAGAGAAUACACUGAACUGGAAAAGCCUGUAGCUCACAGGGGUUGGGCUGGCCGGCUUCGUACUUGCUUUUUUCCUUCCAUCUCUAAGGAGAACUGGAGCGUUUCGCGAGCCACAUGUGUUACAAAGGACACACGACACAAGGAGUGCAGAUACAGGAAAAGGGGCGUUGGGUGCUUCUCCACCUUCUGCUUUGCAAAAUUACUCUUCUCUGACUACCCAAACAUUUCAAAAACACCAGAAGAAAAUGGUAAUUUGAAGAUUCCUGUGUUAACUUUGGUGAAAACCCUGGUAGGGCCCGACCCCGUUGCAUGCCCACACAGUUGUAUUUGGUCUUAACGCUCCAGACCUGUCGGCUCUGAAACUCCUGUCAGCCUAGUGACGAGCAGCACGGCUGCCACCAUCUGCCCGGGUGCCAGCUCUGCCCGGUUCCCCUUCGCAGGAGCGAGAGCACCUGGCACGACCCACGGAGGCCUCCAAGGGCAGCCUUUGCUCAGGCACCAUAGGAGAGCGCGGCUUGUCAACACAGCUUCUCACAGACUCAAGAUAGUUUAAAGCUUUCUGUUUACGUGAGGGUUCCUGAACUCAGUAAUUCUCUUCUUUAGGAAGAACGAAAUAUGCCUGUCCAGGCAAACUAAGGAGAUGGCUAUGCAUGUGAUUAUUACUCAUAAGCACUGUGUGUCUUCCAGGGAUUACAGAGUCCUCCUCCUGCACAUGGCUUCUCUAAGCCGCUGAGUUUCUCUACUGCCAGUUAGUUUCCUCCUUAACAGGUCCCUGUAUGACAAAUGCUUGCUACUCUUGUUCCUCUUUGUUGUUUUAUGAGUCCUUUUAUCAGUCUUGCCACUAUCACCUAAUUCUCUUGUUGUAUCUGAAGUAAACACACUGCUCCAAACCCUGCAGAGAAUGUGGGAGAAGCAUGGCUUCCACCAGGCUCCAGCCACCCCGUUGUUCUGUCUGGCUCGGCCUAUUCACUAAUUAGUCGCUCUUAUUCCCUAAAACUUGUCAGUACCACUACCCCACUUCUUAUCACAAAGUGUGUGAGCCAGUUGUCAUGUAGGGCAUAAGAACUGUAUCCUGAUUUCUAUGGAUUGCCGGUAUUCUUGCACCGUAUGUGGGGAAAAAAAAAAUCACAAGUCACUUCUUUUCUGUUCUUUGUGGGCUUGGUUCUAUGCUGAUUAAGCCAAGGGCAGUGGCUGCCUCUGUAAAUCCUACUUCCUGUCUUCAGCGAUGCUUCUGAGAAAAAAGAUGGCAACUAGCAGAGAGAGAAAACAACUUCACAACUGUGGGGAGCAAGAGGUACUUCUAGGAGAUGCAGUGAAAAUCUCUGUUACUAUUUUGGAAGUAUUCGUAUCAUGAAGGUAUCAUAACAAAUCACCAAAGUUCUCCUAUCACUGCAAGCAAACGAUAGGAACUGAGCUCCACCUUUAUUUCAUUCCAUCAUCUCUCAUCACUUAAUUCUUAAAGUGUAUUACUUCAGAAAAGCACAAGCUUUCUAAUGGGCAGACCAGCAGAGGCAUUUGGAUUCCAAAUUUUCAGCAAUCAGCAACUGAGGACUGAAGGAGGCCAGCAUGGAGACAUCUCAUUAAAACUUUCAAAAGACCUUCUCAGAGUUCAGAUAAUGUGGAAGCUUGAUUUGCCCGUGUGCAUGGACAAAUGCCAGCACCCCAAACUGCUUACAAAGAAAAUCCCUCAUAAGAAUUCUCCAGAGCAGCAGAAUACACUGACAUGGUAGGAUACUGCAUGCCUAAGAUAGACAGUAACACCGGAAGUUUUAUUUGAAGCUUUUUGUAAUGAACUGUUUCAAUAAAACUUAUGUAAAAGCUGUAUCUUAAUAA